UGGAGAUUGGAGUAAUGGCAGCACAUAGGUCUUUGACACCCACGGAGUAAGUUCAAAUCUUGCAUCUACAGCCA
rnacentral:tRNA from 1 species